rnacentral:tRNA from 2 species
GGAGAGAUGCCGGAGCGGCUGAACGGGACGGUCUCGAAAACCGUUGAGGGGGAAACCCCUCCGAGGGUUCAAAUCCCUCUCUCUCCGCCA